rnacentral:rRNA from 1 species
GAUGAACGCUGGCGGCGUGCCUAAUACAUGCAAGUCGAACGCGAGAGGAGGGAGCUUGCUCCCUCUGAUCGAGUGGCGGACGGGUGAGUAACACGUAGGCAACCUGCCCAUCAGCCGGGGAUAACUGCGGGAAACCGUGGCUAAUACCGGAUAAUCCUCUCCACCGCGGGGUGGGGAGUUGAAAGACGGUUUCGGCUGUCGCUGAUGGAUGGGCCUGCGGCGCAUUAGCUGGUUGGCGGGGUAACGGCCCACCAAGGCAACGAUGCGUAGCCGACCUGAGAGGGUGAUCGGCCACACUGGGACUGAGACACGGCCCAGACUCCUACGGGAGGCAGCAGUAGGGAAUCUUCCGCAAUGGACGCAAGUCUGACGGAGCAACGCCGCGUGAGUGAAGAAGGGUUUCGGCUCGUAAAACUCUGUUGUUAAGGAAGAACGCCAGGUAGAGUAACUGCUACCUGUGUGACGGUACUUAACCAGAAAGCCACGACUAACUACGUGCCAGCAGCCGCGGUAA